rnacentral:rRNA from 1 species
CUACGGGCCGCUCCAGUGGGGAAUAUUGCACAAUGGACGAAAGUCUGAUGCAGCAACGCCGCGUGGAGGAUGACACAUUUCGGUGCGUAAACUCCUUUUAUAUAGGAAGAUAAUGACGGUACUAUAUGAAUAAGCGCCGGCUAACUCCGUGCCAGCAGCCGCGGUAAUACGGAGGGCGCAAGCGUUACUCGGAAUCACUGGGCGUAAAGAGCGUGUAGGCGGAUAGAUAAGUCAGGAGUGAAAUCCUAUGGCUCAACCAUAGAACUGCUCUUGAAACUGUCUAUCUAGAAUAUGGGAGAGGUAGAUGGAAUUUCUGGUGUAGGGGUAAAAUCCGUAGAGAUCAGAAGGAAUACCGAUUGCGAAGGCGAUCUACUGGAACAUUAUUGACGCUGAGACGCGAAAGCGUGGGGAGCAAACAGGAUUAGAUACCCUAGUAGUC